rnacentral:rRNA from 1 species
CAGCCCCUCGAGUGGUGGGGAUGAUUAUUUGGCCUAAAGCGUCCGUAGCCAGCCGGAUAGUUUCCCGUUAAAUCCGACGUCUCAAGCGUUGGACUGCGGGAAAUACUGUCUGGCUAGAGAGUGGGAGAGGUUAGCGGUAUUCUGGGGGUAGGGGCGAAAUCCUUUGAUCCCCGGAGGACCACCAGUGGCGAAGGCUGCUGACUAGAACACGUCUGACGGUCAGGGACGAAAGCUGGGGUAGCGAACCGGAUUAGAUACCCGGGUAGUCCCAGCCGUAAACGAUGCAUGCGAGGUGUUGGGUUGGCCCACGAGCCCACCCCCCAGUGCCGCAGGGAAGCCGUUAAGCAUGCCGCCUGGGAAGUACGAUCGCAAGGUUG